CUUUCGGAAAGUGUAUAGAGUGGCGCACGGGUGAGUAACACGUAGGUUAUCUACCUCCGAGUGGGGAAUAACAACCGGAAACGGUUGCUAAUACCGCAUAACACCGAAAGGUCAAAGCUUUAGUGCUUGGAGAGGAGCCUGCGGCAGAUUAGCUAGUUGGUAAGGUAAUGGCUUACCAAGGCGACGAUCUGUAUCCGGUCUAAGAGGACGGUCGGACACACUGACACUGAAUAACGGGUCAG
rnacentral:rRNA from 1 species